rnacentral:rRNA from 1 species
UACGUAGGGGGCAAGCGUUGUCCGGAUUUAUUGGGCGUAAAGAGCGUGUAGGCGGCCUGACAGGUCUGCUGUGAAAACUCGAGGCUCAACCUCGAGAUGUCGGCGGAAACCGUCUGGCUAGAGUCCGGAAGAGGAGAGUGGAAUUCCUGGUGUAGCGGUGAAAUGCGCAGAUAUCAGGAAGAACACCUAUGGCGAAGGCAGCGCUCUGGGACGGUACUGACGCUGAGACGCAAAAGCGUGGGGAGCGAACAGG